rnacentral:rRNA from 1 species
AUGCCAACUACAGAUACCAGUGUGCCAACUGAUGUGUCAGUUAGCAGUAUGGUCACAGUCAAAACCACCACAGCUGGUCAGGAAGGCACCACUGCAACUGCAAGUCCCAAGGUGCCUACUGAUAGAGAUGCUUCAAUGCCAAACACAAAAGGAGGUGAUCCAACUAUCAAAGUGCCGUCCCCAAGAGUUGUCUUUCAGCAACCAUUAACACAAGAGGAGGUGUUCGACAUUAUAAGUAGGUGCAAGCCUCCAAGGCCGCCAACUACAACACUAUUGCGAACCAAGUCAGUGAAUGAUGCACCCAUGUUUGUGCCGCAAGGAGAUGCCCUGGUCCUUGAACCCUUACGAAGAUCAAACUCUUAUCAUGGUGACGGGUUCUGCGAUGCACCAUCUUUUGACCUCGGCAUAGAUGGUGAUGCUCCAGCACCUGCUCCAGCAGUAGAUACAGCGGAAGCCGGUGUGAUUAGCAUCGAUGAGUCAUCUCAAAGGUCUCCAUUCAUCGACUACAACAAGAACAAGACUUUCAGCACCAAUGAGGUAGUGAACAAGCUUUACGCUGCCCUCUUGUAUUGGGUCAGGCAUCAUAAAGGAGCAAAUGAUGGAGCUACCAGGUAUGGUGCUUUCUACAUUUCUUUAAAGGAGUUAGUUGAUUCGAUGAAGCCAGUUCAAUGGUUGUCAAAAAUUGUUAUUGAGACUGGAAUCUUACACAUCAUGGAUAACUUACCAGAAGGGUCAAAGAAGGUUGUUAUGCCACUGAGGUUUUCUAUAAAAUUACAGCAAGGGAUCCACAAUGUGGAUGAGAUGAACAAGAAGUUUGAUUACAAGAACCGUCUCGACAAGAAAGACUUGCUACAUCUUGUAUUUGUGUCUGAAAUCAUUCACGCUUGA